rnacentral:rRNA from 1 species
CCUACGGGAGGCAGCAGUGGGGAAUAUUGCACAAUGGGGGAAACCCUGAUGCAGUGACGCCGCGUGAGUGAAGAAGUAUUUCGGUACGUAAAGCUCUAUCAGCAGGGAAGAAAAUGACGGUACCUGACUAAGAAGCCCCGGCUAACUACGUGCCAGCAGCCGCGGUAAUACGUAGGGGGCAAGCGUUAUCCGGAUUUACUGGGUGUAAAGGGAGCGUAGACGGCAGCGCAAGUCUGGAGUGAAAUCCCAUGGCUUAACCAUGGAACUGCUUUGGAAACUGUGCAGCUAGAGUGCAGGAGAGGUAAGCGGAAUUCCUAGUGUAGCGGUGAAAUGCGUAGAUAUUAGGAGGAACACCAGGGGCGAAGGCGGCUUACUGGACUGUAACUGACGUUGAGGCUCGAAAGCGUGGGGAGCAAACAGGAUUAGAUACCCCGGUAGUC